rnacentral:rRNA from 1 species
UCGAGGAUCUUCGGCAAUGGGCGCAAGCCUGACCGAGCGACGCCGCGUGUGCGAUGAAGGCCUUCGGGUUGUAAAGCACUGUCGGGGGGGAGAAAAGCCGCAAGGCUUGAUCGACCCCCGGAGGAAGCACGGGCUAAGUUCGUGCCAGCAGCCGCGGUAAGACGAACCGUGCGAACGUUGUUCGGAAUCACUGGGCUUAAAGGGCGCGUAGGCGGGCCCGCAAGUCAGGGGUGAAAGCCCACGGCUCAACCGUGGAAGAGCCUUUGAUACUGCGGAUCUCGAGGGAGGUAGGGGCGUGCGGAACUUCCGGUGGAGCGGUGAAAUGCGUAGAUAUCGGAAGGAACAUCGGUGGCGAAAGCGGCGCGCUGGACCUCUUCUGACGCUGAGGCGCGAAAGCCAGGGGAGCAAACGGGAUUAGAUACCCGUGUAGUCC